AUUAAUUAUUACAUGUUUCAUAAUAUUUCCUUUUGCAUCAGGAUUAAUCAAAAAUAAGAAAAAUUUCUAUAAAAGAAAAAUAUCGACCUAAAAAAACAUUAUAAAUAUAUUACAUAGAUUAAAAAUGUUUUUUUACUUGUUAUAUGCAUUAUGUUAUUAGAUACCUUUUUAUUCAUCCCUUUAUGGAUAAUCAUAAAUGAAAAAGUUUUGUUUAUAUUUAACUUAAACUAAUAGUAGGAUUAGAAGUAACCAAGCUAACUUUUUGUAGUAAAACAUUAUUAAAGUAAUUAAUUAUUUAACGCUUGUUUUAAACAAAUUGGUUUAAAAUUAUAAUGACUAAGUAAGUAUACAAUCUUAAAAUCUUUAAUUAAAAUUCAGCACAUAAUAUACUACUGUUUAAUAAAAACAUUGUAAUAUAUAUCUAUAUUAUAAUUCUCCUGCCCAAUGAUUUAUAUUAAAUGGCCGCAGUAACCUGACUGUGCUAAGGUAGCAUAAUCAUUUGUUUAAUAAAUUUAAACUAGAAUGAAAGGAAAAAAGUAUAUUAACUGUUAAUUACAAAUCUUUUGAAAUCCUUUUUAAAGUGCAAAAACUUUAAUUAGUGACAUAAACGAGAAGACCCUAAAAAUUUUAAUCUAUUUUAUUGGGACAAUACUAUUACAUAAUUAUUAUAUGUUAAACAUUAUCUAUGCUAAUUAACUAAAUAAAAUUACUUUAGGGAUAACAGCAUAAUAACUAUAAAGAGACCUAAUCUAAAUAGUUGCUUGUGACCUCGAUGUUGAAUCAUUUUAACAAAACUUGCAGAAGAGUUUUAUCUAUCGUCUGUUCGACGAUUCUACAUUACGCGAUUUGAGUUUAAACCGUUGAAAAACAGGUUGGAUUCUCUUUUGUCACUUUAAAUCUCAUUUAAAUUCAGUACGAAAGGACAAAUUUAAUAAAUCCGUCUAUUUAUAUAUAUAAUAACAUGAUAAAAUUUCAAUAUAUAAUAGUGAUAUUAUUUGGUGUAGGAAUUCU
rnacentral:rRNA from 1 species